CUGAGAGGUUGUUCUGUCUAGGUUCUGAGAGGUUGUUCUGUCUAGGUUCUGAGAGGUUGCUCUGUCUAGGUUCUGAGAGGUUGUUCUGUCUAGGUUCUGAGAGGUUGUUCUGUCUAGGUUCUAGGUUCUGAGAGUUUCUUCUGUCUAGGUUCUGAGAGGUUGCUCUGUCUAGGUUCUGAGAGGUUGUUCUGUCUGGGUUCUGAGAGGUUGUUCUGUCUAGGUUCUGAGAGGUUGUUCUGUCUAGGUUCUGAGAGGUUGUUCUGUCUAGGUUCUGAGAGGUUGUUCUGUCUAGG